CUCGAACUUGGUCGGGGCGCGGAUCCCGAGAGGGAAAGUCAUAACAACCGCACGAGGGAGUUCGACUGGCGAACUGGAAGGCCACGCCUCCUCCCGCCUGCCCCCUCAGCCCUGUGGCUGGGGGCAGAGCUCAGCUUUCCCAGACAAACCUCUGAGGAGAAUCUGGUGUCUGUAGAUAUGUAGAGAUGUUUCUGUGCUCUUCAUUGAGCUCUAACAAAAACUGUCUUCUGAAGAUUGAUGUCUAUUUCCUUGAGCUCUUUAAUUUUGUUGCCAAUUUGGAUAAACAUGGCACAAAUCCAGCAGGGAGGUCCAGAUGAAAAAGAAAAGACUACCGCACUGAAAGGAAAUAUUUACUACAAAGAAUUGACUCACACAAUUAUGGAGGCUGAGAAGACCCAAGUUCUGUUAUCAGCAAGCUGGAGACCCAGGAGAGCUGACAGUAAAGUUCAAGUCAGAAGAGCUGAUGGUAUUUAUUAUCUAGGAUAGAUUUGGAUGAACUAAUG
rnacentral:lncRNA from 10 species